ACAACUUUCAACAACGGAUCUCUUGGCUCUCGCAUCGAUGAAGAACGCAGCGAAAUGCGAUAAGUAAUGUGAAUUGCAGAAUUCAGUGAAUCAUCGAAUCUUUGAACGCACCUUGCGCCCCUUGGUAUUCCGAGGGGCACACCUGUUUGAGUGUCGU
rnacentral:rRNA from 2 species